CAUCCCCUCUUCUCUUUGUCAACUGGACUUAUGUCUUCAUUGGUCAUUCAAGUGGGGCGAAGGAAGGAUCCUUUUAAAAUUCAAGCAAACUGGGUGCUUGUCUUAUAACUUGUCAGAGGAAACAAAU
ensembl:snoRNA